AGACACAGCUGCACCUAAGAGAUCCUUGGGGAAAUCUGACAAAGGGCCGGCAGAAGAAGAGGAAGAUACCACCAAUGACACAAACUAAUCUUAUCUCAAGAUAAUUUCCUUCAAAGAGAAAUCAGGAAGGAAUUUGUUAUGCAGAAUUUAGGAUUCGGCCAGCAGACCCUUAGGAUUCGGCCAGCAGAUCUGGAAGCAUCCAAAGCCUGCUGAGGAAUGACAGUUUUGAAACACCCAGUAUUGAAAGACCCGGUUCUUCUGAGGAAAAAGGGAGUUGGAACACCACUCCGAUAUUCUUUCCCUGUUUCACAUCUCAGCCCCUUCUGUGAUCCAA